GGGGGUUUAGCUCAGCAGGCAUAAGCGCCUGCCUCGAAAGCAGGCAGUCAUGAGUUCGAUCCCUGGUACCCUUA
rfam:Cavia porcellus supercont2_24 genomic scaffold, whole genome shotgun sequence.